UCUUCGGAGAGUUUGAUCCUGGCUCAGGAUGAACGCUGGCGGCGUGCCUAAUACAUGCAAGUCGAGCGAACUGAUUAGAAGCUUGCUUCUAUGACGUUAGC
rnacentral:rRNA from 3 species